AAUACGAAUGAAUUUUUAUUUUUCAAUACACAAUAAGCUUUAUUAAUGUUUUUGUAUUUUUAUAUCCAUCUGAUUUACUAAUGAAUUGUUUUGAUUAUUUAUCAUUGAUUAUUAAUCAUUAAAUCAUUAUUUAAUUAAUUUAAAAUAAUAAGCAGAAAUAGUGGGAAUAAGAAAUAUGGCUUUCAAGCAUUAACAGAUAAGAAUAUAACCUAUAAUUUUUCAUAUUGUAAACAAAGGUAGAACAAUAUUGUAAAUAUGGUAUAACGCAGCGCACAAUACCAUUAUAUACCUUUAGAUAUACAAAAUAAAUAAGAUAAUUAUGAUAACUUUAAUGCUCUGAUAUUACCAAACCAAAAAAGGAAUACCAAAAAGAAAGAAAAGAAGAUAUCAGUAACGCAUAUAUUAUCUAAAAAGCAUAGAAAGCCAAUUAGAAAAAAUUGUAGAAAAAAAGAAAACAAAAUUACAAAGAUCAACGUUACUAGAAGAAUAAGCUAAAGUACAAGCUCUAGACGAAGAACUAAAGAAAUAUAUUCCUUGACUACAGUUCAAACAAAAGAAUCGAAACGUCACUUUAGAGAAUAAACCGCACCUACUACAGAAGCUUUAAUUAAUCCAAUCGAUGAGUGCGCUAUAAAUAAUACAGAAUCUAAAUUAAACACGAUUAAAGGUAUAAAAAGAAAAAGACUGUCUAUACUUAACAACAUAAAACAGAAGUUCUCUAACUCACAUACAUUUACUGAUACUUUGACUCAGAGCCACUAGAAACGAUUGCGGCAAGCAUAAUUGUGUUAUGGAAAAGAGAUUCUUAAAUUAAUUGUUUACUGAACAUUGGAGAAAAAAUAAUGAUUAAUGAAGAGCUUAUGCAUAUCGACGAAAAUGCGUUCCACGAAGUCGAAGGUAAUAGUUACGAGGACAAAAAUUAUAAGCGAAAAAGGGAGCUUGCGCUUACAUUCUCCAUUUUUCGAAAAUUAAAACAGUAACACUUUCUCGCGAACAUCACACUUGAAGAAGUAGAAAUAACAUAUUAAAUUGAGAGAAAUGAUGAUUGAUAAAAAUGCUUUUAUCAAUUCAUAGCCGUUUGCUCAUUUCGAGGAAGUUCAAACAAGUGAUCAGCCGAUAAGUAUUUUUUAAUGUCACAUAUUGUAUCGACAUUAUUAAAAAGGAAAAGAAAUAAAAGGAAGGAAUUUAAUUCCAUAAUACGUAUUUGACCUGGCCAAAUCUAAACAAAACGUCUCAAAGACGUUUUACGGCUGAUCGAGUUAAACGUGACAUAGUACACUAAAUUUCCUUCACCGCAUUUGUAGACAUACUUUCUGAGAAAAAUUAGAAAAGUACUUUUCACAAUGUGUUCAAAGAGAAAAACGUAUUGAACCGACGUAGGGAUGCAAAAGAUGCAAAGUUUCAUUACAUGUAUCAACAUGUUUUGAAAGAUACUAUACAAUCGAAGCGUUAAGCUAAUCCGUUACCAAUAGCGCACAUUAAAUUCUAAAACAAAAGGAAAUAUUGUAAAUACGUUCGCGAAGUUUCUUCCCUCGUUUUCUCGAAAAUGGUUGGGUGUAUGCUUUUACUCUUAGAGUCAAAGGUAUAGUCUUAAUGGACCCCUAAAACUAUGAAAAGUUUAAAAAAUAUCAGAGUUAAAUUCCUUUGGUGUAGCCCUUGUAAGUUACAUAAAUGAUAAUUUUCACACAUUUUUUAAAGAUUUAUUCAAAAAUCAAAUUGUAUCACAAUGUACAAGUUUUAAUUUUGGAUAUAAAUAAUUGUUAUAAUAUUU